AGAGCUAUAUUUACUGCGCAAGUCUACGUUGCAAGUUUUUGACGAGAUUGGUGAUUGAAGUGCUUUUCUUUGUCGAAAAGAAAUAGCAAAGUGUUUUUGGAACGCUUUAUUACUCAGAGAGAGGAAACACACUUUGAUCCGUAUCUGUUAGAGCGCGAUUGCGUACAUAACGAUUAAACCACGGACAAUUCGCAUAAGAAAUUGGCGAAUACUACCAUUAACCGCUUUGCUUUUACCGCCCUUCACAAACUAUUUUACUUCCGGUGUGUGACCUCGGAAUUUUAUCAAUCCGCCAACCGCUGGGAAGACACAAUCGAUUCGAAAUUAUCAAAGUAAGAAGAGAAACACGACCCGUGAUCAAUAGGACUCUAAAUAAUGUAUCUCUGUCGCAUCGUGCUGUUUUUUGCUCAGUUUAUUGUGAGAUAAACGUGGAUAUCUAAAGAUGCAGUGACGCGCAUUUUUUUUCUAUGACUUGUUAGCAGACUCUGAUGUAAAUAAACCAUUUUCCCGUGAGUUUCCAAGCAGACAGGGGUGAUCUGAGUAAAUGUUUACCUUUCUGCAGCACGAAAACCUUGAGGCGCGAUCGGAUCUCGAGGGCUCCAAGCACACAGAUGUCACGUUUCCGGAAUGAUGUUUCCUGACGGACUAUUUGGUGUUAACCUCUUCGUCAUGUUAAUCUUUCUGUGGAUGUUGUCAGUGUCUUUUGCUAAUGACGUCAUAAUCGGUACAGGCACGGGCAAUAACCUAUCAGAUGCAGGGGGUUACUUUGUUAACAUAACGGAAGUGACGUCGGUGACGAUACCAACAACAAGAAUUCCCGAACACAGAAAACUACAAGUGAUGUGGGAAAACAGCACGACCUCAAGCAUUGCAAUUACUUGGAAAUUUCUGUCUGACCCUUCCGACAGGAACGAUACAUUUAAAGGCACACGAGUCGAGUGCUUCUAUCAAACUGGGAAAUUUAUAUCUAACAGGCUUCCCCCAUGGGUCAAUACUUAUAUAUUCACACGCUUGGAUGUUGACUCGAGUUAUACUAUAUGCAUUAAUGCCUAUGAAAGAAAAUCCUCAGGGACAAUCAUAUAUCCCACAAUGCAAUAUUCAAAAUGUGUUAUUCUGUCAACAAUACCCUAUGUCCGGCGGGACAGCGUGAUUAUUUUACUAUGCACCAUGUCUUAUUUCAUAUUCUUUAGUCUUCUCGGAGUUUCUCAAUGGCAACACAAAAUACGCGAUAUAAAAAAGCGACGCAGACGUGGUUUCGUUGCAGUGAAAUCACGUGAAGAAAACCAGCCAAUCAAAAGACACGAAAAUGGACAGAAACUCCAAUGCAAUAACACGGUAUCAGCCAUAGAGGAGACAAUCCAUCGGUGAUAAAUAUUGUGAAAGGCAGCACGUGACAGUAGAUUUUUUUCAGUGUAAUUAUCGGGGUAGAAACUUUACGAUGUCUCAUGUUGAUAAUCAAAGCGAGUCAUUUAGUAAGAGCAUUAUCAAAUUAACGGAUGGAGGAAUCAUGAAUUCAUGCAAAGAAGACAGUGAUUAGCCAUUAUGAACCAUGGGGAACCUUUUCGUUAAACCUUUGUCAUAUAUAAUUUCCAUUCUCAAUGACCGGGUAGAGCGUGACAGCGUGACGGGAAUUACGUCAUCAUGGAAAGCGAGUUUUUGACUUGCCUAAAUGGUCGAGCGGUCUAGCGCUCUGUUCUGUUCAUACACUGCUAGGAGGUUAUAUACAUUUUUCCAAUGAUUAAUAAAUAUCAUAUAGAUCAUUCA